AGCAGCCGCGGUAAUUCCAGCUCCAAUAGCGUAUAUUAAAGUUGUUGCAGUUAAAAAGCUCGUAGUUGAAUUUCGAGAUCAGUACGCUGGUCGUGCCUUCGGUAUGCACUGGUGUCACUGGUUUCUCCCUUCUGAAGAACCGUCAUGUCAUUAAGUUGGUGUGGCGGGGAAUCAGGACUGUUACUUUAGAAAAAAUUAGAGUGUUUAAAGCAGGCUCGCGCUUGAAUACAUUAGCAUGGAAUAAUGAAAUAGGACGUUUGACCCUAUUUUGUUGGUUUCUAGGAUCGACGUAAUGAUUAAUAGGGAUAGUUGGGGGCAUUAGUAUUCAAUUGUCAGAGGUGAAAUUCUUGGAUUUAUUGAAGACUAACUACUGCGAAAGCAUUUGCCAAGGAUGUUUUCAUUAAUCAAGAACGAAAGUUAGGGGAUCGAAGACGAUCAGAUACCGUCGUAGUCUUAACCAUAAACUAUGCCGACUAGG
rnacentral:rRNA from 1 species